GUUAUGGUGUCAGUGGGGAAAUCUUCUCACAGUGUCAAAGCAGGUUUACUGCUGUUUUCACUCUGAGGCAGACCCUUUGCUGAAAGUUGUGAUGAAAGCUGCCUUUGGGAGUGAGGGAAAGAAUCUAGUCUGGUAGAAGAAAACCCAAUUUCUCUAUAUCAGACAGUGAAUGUUCUUCUGACAACGUGAGAGUGAAAAAGCAAAACAGAGUUAAUAUCAGCACGUUUCAAGGUACUUAGUAAAAUAGAAUCCAGACCAAGCUUCAGGCCUAGAUUCCUAAUG